rnacentral:rRNA from 1 species
GACAGAGGGUGCAAGCGUUGUUCGGAAUUACUGGGCGUAAAGCGCGUGUAGGCGGCAGGGUGUGUCGGAUGUGAAAUCCCGUGGCUCAACCACGGAAGUGCACCCGAAACUACCCAGCUCGAGUCUCGGAGAGGAAGGUGGAAUGCUUGGUGUAGAGGUGAAAUUCGUAGAUAUCAAGCGGAACACCGGUGGCGAAGGCGGCCUUCUGGACGAUGACUGACGCUGAGACGCGAAAGCGUGGGGAGCAAACAGG